CCUGAGUACGACGGAGCACGUGAAAUUCCGUCGGAAUCUGGGAGGACCAUCUCCUAAGGCUAAAUACUCUCUAGUGACCGAUAGUGAACCAGUACCGUGAGGGAAAGGUGAAAAGUACCCCGGAAGGGGAGUGAAAGAGAACUUGAAACCGUGUGCUUACAAGUAGUCAGAGCCCGUUAAUGGGUGAUGGCGUGCCUUUUGUAGAAUGAACCGGCGAGUUACGAUCUGAUGCAAGGUUAAGCAGAAAAUGUGGAGCCGUAGCGAAAGCGAGUCUGAAUAGGGCGAAUGAGUAUUUGGUCGUAGACCCGAAACCAGGUGAUCUACCCUUGGUCAGGUUGAAGUUCAGGUAACACUGAAUGGAGGACCGAACCGACUUACGUUGAAAAGUGAGCGGAUGAACUGAGGGUAGCGGAGAAAUUCCAAUCGAACUUGGAGAUAGCUGGUUCUCUCCGAAAUAGCUUUAGGGCUAGCCUCAAGUGAUGAUUAUUGGAGGUAGAGCACUGUUUGGACGAGGGGCCCCUCUCGGGUUACCGAAUUCAGACAAACUCCGAAUGCCAAAUAAUUUAACUUGGGAGUCAGAAUGUGGGUGAUAAGGUCCAUAUUCGAAAGGGAAACAGCCCAGACCACCAGCUAAGGUCCCAAAAUAUAUGUUAAGUGGAAAAGGAUGUGGCGUUGCCCAGACAACUAGGAUGUUGGCUUAGAAGCAGCCAUCAUUUAAAGAGUGCGUAAUAGCUCACUAGUCGAGUGACACUGCGCCGAAAAUGUACCGGGGCUAAACAUAUUACCGAAGCU
rnacentral:rRNA from 1 species